rnacentral:rRNA from 1 species
AACCACCUGGGGAGUACGAUCGCAAGGUUGAAACUCAAAGGAAUUGACGGGGGCCCGCACAAGCGGAGGAACAUGUGGUUUAAUUCGAUGAUACGCGAGGAACCUUACCUGGGCUUAAAUGUAGAUUGCAUAGAGUAGAAAUAUUCUUUUCCUUCGGGACUAUUUACAAGGUGCUGCAUGGUUGUCGUCAGCUCGUGCCGUGAGGUGUCGGGUUAAGUCCCAUAACGAGCGCAACCCCUAUCGUUAGUUGCCAGCGGAUAAUGCCGGGGACUCUAGCGAGACUGCCACCGUAAGGUGAGAGGAAGGUGGGGAUGACGUCAAAUCAGCACGGCCCUUAUGUCCAGGGCUACACACGUGUUACAAUGGCCGAUACAAAGGGCAGCUACCUGGCAACAGGAUGCUAAUCUCUAAAGUCGGUCCCAGUUCGGAUUGGAGUCUGCAACCCGACUCCAUGAAGUUGGAUUCGCUAGUAAUCGGAUAUCAGCAAUGAUCCGGUGAAUACGUUCCCGGGCCUUGUACACACCGCCCGUCAAACCAUGGGAGCUGGGGGUGCCUGAAGUCUGUGACCGAGAGGAGCGGCCUAGGGUAAAACCAGUGACUGGGGUUAAGUCGUAACAAGGUAGCCG